GACGAACGCUGGCGGCGUGCCUAAUACAUGCAAGUCGAACGCAGUGGGGACGGGUGAGUAACACGUGGGUAACCUCCCAUCAGAGGGGAUAACACUUGGAAACAGGUGCUAAACCGAUACUGAUGGAUGGAACCGCGGUGCAUUAGCUAGUUGGUGCGGUAAAGGCUCACCAAGGCCACGAUGCAUAGCCGCCUUGAGAUGGGUGUUGGCCACACUGUGACUGAGCCACUGCCCAGACGCCUACGGGAGGCAGCAGUAGGGAAUCUUCGGCAAUGGACGAAAGUCUUACCGAGCAACUCCGCGUGAGUGAAGAAGUUUUUCGGAUCGUAAAACUCUGUUGUUAGAGAAGCGGUAUCUAACCAGAAAGCCACGGCUAACUACGUGCCAGCAGCCGCGGUAAUUC
rnacentral:rRNA from 1 species